rnacentral:rRNA from 1 species
GAUGAAUGCUGGCGGCAUGCCUAACACAUGCAAGUCGAGCGGCAGCGAGGGGUGCUUGCACCCUGUCGGCGAGCGGCGAACGGCUGAGUAACGCGUAGGAAUUUGCCCCAAAGUGAGGAAUAACUGCCCGAAAGGGUAGCUAAUGCCGCAUAUGGUCUUCGGAUUAAAGGAUUUAUCCGCUUUGGGAGAAGCCUGCGUUGGAUUAGGUUGUUGGUAGGGUAAUGGCCUACCAAGCCGACGAUCCAUAGCUGGUCUGAGAGGAUGAUCAGCCAGACUGGAACUGAGACACGGUCCAGACUCCUACGGGAGGCAGCAGUGAGGAAUCUUCCACAAUGGGCGAAAGCCUGAUGGAGCAACGCCGCGUGAAGGAUGAAGGCCUUCGGGUUGUAAACUUCUUUUAUGAGUGAAGAAUAUGACGGUAACUCAUGAAUAAGCACCGGCUAACUACGUG